AGCUUUAUAGCUAGCCCGCACAAACAACUUCAACAAACCCCUGUUAAUAACCCCUAAAUACACUAGUAUCUCAUUAAACAAACCAUUUUUCCCCCUUAGUAUAGGUGAUAGAAACGGGACCCCAGGCGCAAUAGAGAAAGUACCGCAAGGGAAUGCUGAAAGAGAAGUGAAAAAACUCAGUGAAGCCUAAAGAAGCAGAGAUUAAAACUCGUACCUUUUGCAUCAUGAUUUAGCAAGUGUAAUCCAAGCAAAGAGUGCUUUAGUUUGAUAUCCCGAAACUAGGUGAGCUACUCCAAGACAGCCUAUUAAUAGGGCACACCCGUCUCUGUGGCAAAAGAGUGGGGGGAGCUUUGAGUAGAGGUGAUAGACCUACCGAACCUAGUUAUAGCUGGUUGUCCAAGAAAUGAAUAGAAGUUCAGCCUCCCGGCUUCUCUUUUCACCUUAGUUUAACCCCUAUCGAUGUACUUAAGAAACCAGGAGAGUUAGUCAAAGGGGGUACAGCCCCUUUGAACCAAGACACAACUUUAUCAGGAGGGUAAAGAUCAUAAUACCUAAAGGAAGAUAUUUGGGUGGGCCUAAAAGCAGCCAUCCCCUUAGAAAGCGUUAAAGCUCAAAUAUAAUACUAAACCCUUCUUAUUCUGAUCACCAAAUCUUAUCCCCCUAAACAUAAUGGACCACCCCAUGCAUGCAUGGGGGUGACUAUGCUAAUAUGAGUAAUAAGAGAGCCUCCGGCUCUCUCCCUGCACACAUGUACAUCGGAACGGACAUCCCGCCGACCAUUAACGGCCCCAAACAAAGAGGGCACUGAAUAAUAGAUUAAACAACAAGAAAAGCGUUCAGGAAAUAACCGUUAACCCCACACAGGUGUGCCCACAGGGAAAGGCUAAAAGAAAGAGAAGGAACUCGGCAAACAUUAAAGCCUCGCCUGUUUACCAAAAACAUCGCCUCUUGCAAACUUAAUAAAUAAGAGGUCCCGCCUGCCCUGUGACUAUUAGUUUAACGGCCGCGGUAUUUUGACCGUGCGAAGGUAGCGCAAUCACUUGUCUUUUAAAUGAAGACCUGUAUGAAUGGCAUAACGAGGGCUUAACUGUCUCCUCUUUCCAGUCAAUGAAGUUGAUCUUCCCGUGCAGAAGCGGGAAUACAAACAUAAGACGAGAAGACCCUAUGGAGCUUUAGACACCAAGGUAGAUCAUGUUAAUAACCCUGAACAAAGGACUAAACCAGAUGGAACCUACCCUAAUGUCUUUGGUUGGGGCGACCGCGGGGAAUUAAAAAACCCCCACGUGGAAUGGGAGCACCCCUCCUACAACUAAGAGCCACAGCUCUAGUAAACAGAAAUUCUGACCAACAAGAUCCGGCAAUGCCGAUCAACGGACCGAGUUACCCUAGGGAUAACAGCGCAAUCCUCUUUUAGAGCCCAUAUCGACAAGGGGGUUUACGACCUCGAUGUUGGAUCAGGACAUCCUAAUGGUGCAGCCGCUAUUAAGGGUUCGUUUGUUCAACGAUUAAAGUCCUACGUGAUCUGAGUUCAGACCGGAGUAAUCCAGGUCAGUUUCUAUCUAUGCUAUGCUCUUUUCUAGUACGAAAGGACCGAAAAGAAGAGGCCCAUGCUCAAGGCACGCCUCCCCCCUACCUACUGAAGUCAACUAAAGUAGGCAAAGGGGCAUGCCCCCCUGCCUAAGAAAAAGGCAU
rnacentral:rRNA from 1 species